CUUUAAUGCCUUUGUAAAAGCAUAUAGAUAUCCAAGAAUACACUUGGAAAAGACUUGAGAGAGUUACGUCGUUUUUUGUUCUUUUCUUUUAUUGAAUCCUUUUUAGUUUUUUGUUUUCAUACGGAACUGAUAAUCUUUCCUCUGAUGAUGUUUUCGAAACCAAAUCAACGCUUGGUGUAAUGGGUACUCGUUCCUUUUCCUAGUAAAAAAAGAAGAAAAGAAAAGAAAAGAAAAGAUUGGAGCUGCCUGGUACGUGCCGCUGCAGCGGCAGCAUUUAUCUUAAUCCAUUGGAGUGGACCGACCAUAUGCCUUUCAAAAAUUCGAAUUUAAUCAUUUUAAAUGUUGAAAUUGUUUAUAAUAAUUUUAUUUUAUUAAUUGUUAUUUUUAUAUGAUUGAGAUAGCCAUACUUUAAAAAAAAAAG
rnacentral:misc_RNA from 1 species